CAGUAGCCGCGGUAAUACGUAGGGUGCAAGCGUUACUCGGAAUUACUGGGCGUAAAGCGUGCGUAGGUGGUGGUUUAAGUCCGUUGUGAAAGCCCUGGGCUCAACCUGGGAAUUGCAGUGGAUACUGGGUCACUAGAGUGUGGUAGAGGAUAGUGGAAUUUCCGGUGUAGCAGUGAAAUGCGUAGAGAUCGGAAGGAACAUCUGUGGCGAAGGCGACUAUCUGGGCCAACACUGACACUGAGGCACGAAAGCGUGGGGAGCAAACAGGAUUAGAUACCCGUGUAGUCCCUGUCUCUUAUAC
rnacentral:rRNA from 1 species